rnacentral:lncRNA from 1 species
CAAUUUGCAGGAGAAACAGUGACAGAGAUGAAAGGUCAUCUGUUGAAGUAUCCGGUUGAGGUUGAUCGAAUGGGGAAGGUCGGGCCGCUUCCGGGAUGCUCGAGUUUCCCAGAUGUUGGUGGCAAUAUUUUGGGAUCGUACAUACCUUUGCAGAAGAACCUUAACAUAUGUGGUUCCUCCAUAGCCAUUCAGGAAAAUGUUAAUGCUUUUGGCUCCCUUCUUCCCAAACAAGAGAACCUCACCAUUUGAACUGCUACACCAGUUGGAGGAUUUCUUGGUUUCUUCACUUGUUUUCUUGUUGUUGUUGUAAAGGGCGUAGUAAGUUUGUAAAGAAAGAAUUUUGUUUUAGGGGAAAAGAACUGUUAUCUGGCAGGAGUUAUUAUAGUCGUAAUUUUGAGAUUGACCGCUCUGACUUUCUCUAGCUUUCUUAUUGUGUUACUUAUGUCGACUUACACUUUGGUAAGGAACACUACCACCUUACACACGAAUAACCUGAAACCAUUAACAUGAAAAAAACUUCAAAAUAUUAACUGUUACUAUGCAUACAGAAGGAGCUUUCAUAUUUACCGACAACUUUAAACAAAGCCUUGAACAACAAAUUGAAACACAAUCUUACAGUAGGGAGGUAUACAAACAAUAAUACAGAGUCUCAACUGAACAACACAGUUUAGGAAUAUAUCAUCAUAUAUUCUUUCUAAAGACAACGAAAAACCCCAUGCCAUCCAAGUUUUAGCUACUAACUAAGUUGGAUACAUAAUCAUGUUUUAUAUUUUAUGCAGCAGGGGGGCAUGCAUUAGCUCUGGAUAGCGACUAGCUUCCAUCAUUCGCUGCAUGCUGUUGAUCCUCUUAGGCUGAGGCACCAUUCCGGAACUCACAGCAGCGGUAUAAGCCGAGAAAUGAACUCCCAAUGCAGCUCUACCAGAAGGGUCUAUAUUGCCUGACCAUGAAGCAUCCCACUCGACUGCUUUGGAUGUGCUGCAAGCCACGCUUGCUCCUCCAGGAACAGUCAGACUGGCCGGGUUCUGUAUAAAAACGUAGAUUGAACAUAGUUUAAUGAGAAGGGAACAUUCAGAUUAGCUUGAGAAAAGGUUGGGAGGGCUGUUCCACUAACUAAGCUCACCUAUGGGAAAAACCUCUCAAAGAUCAUUCUGUAGUAGUAAGCUUCUUUGGUGUUUGGGGUGUUGUGAGGGAAGAUAUAUAUGUACAACAUUUCGCAUCUUUUAUCGGUUACCUGAGCACGAAUAAAUCAGGAUCAGCAUAUAUCUAUUUCAACCAACACAUUGAAAUAGGGAGAUUCGGUGUUUUUUAUCUUGCAUACAUGUCGACAAGCAUGAGCUUUGAGGCCAUCAAUCCAGCUGUAGCCAACCAUCACUAAAUUGCUCUUUCUGUCUGUACAAAAUAUGCUGCAGAAAGGAAGCCACAUGGGAUCAACUUUAAGACAUCUGAAAAUUCUUCUGAAUCAAUGCUAAGCAGUCAGGAGAUGGUAUUGAAAGAAAUCAACCUAAGGUAGAUACGGUUGUUCUUCGUCAUCAAAUGUUUUCCUAAGAACCCAUUUCUCUAUCCUCCCUUCUUCAGGCUUAAUCUAAAAAGAAACAUAAAAAAGGCUUAAGUAUGACAAAUAACAAUAACAGUUUACACUUUACAGGAACACACUGAAACUUAACAUACCAUCUUCCAUUGAGGGUCAAUGGCCAUUGCAACGCUGAUGAACUCCUUGUCCACGAAGGGAACUCGAGCUUCCAACCCCCAAGCAGAAGUAGCCUUGUUGGCUCUCAAGCAAUCAUACUGAUGUAAAGCUUUGAUCUUGCGACACGUCUCACAAUGGAACUCUUCCUUGUUAGGUGCCUUGUGGAAGUAGAGAUACCCACCAAACACCUCAUUGGAGCCUUCUCCAGAGAGAACCAUCUUCACACCCAAUGACUUGAUCUUCCGGGACAUCGUAGGUGUUCUCGCUGUGAUGGUGGUAACAUCAUGCGUCUCGAUGUGGUAAAUCACAUCCUCGAUCGCAUCGAUCCCAUCCUGGACCGUGAAGUUGAACUCGUGGUGGACGGUCCCCAGGUAGUCCGCAACCUCUUUUGCAGCUUUUAAGUCAGGGGAUCUCUCAAGGCCAACAUAGAAGGAACGAAGCUGGGAACCCUAGUGCUUCGCAGCUCGAGUUCCGGCUAAGUGCCUAGCUGUGAUGGAAGCCACUAAGGAGGAAUCCAGCCUACCGGAGAGCAGAACACUAAAAGGGACAUCAGUAAUCAAUCUCUUGGUCACAGCCUGCCAUCAAAAGAGCCAAAAACUUAAGUACUAGUAUGAAUACGUACGAGUACACACUUAGUUUGCGCAAGUGCAUAUUAAUAUGUAAGAGUACAUAAUGAUACUCAAAUACAUAAAAAUAAAUAUGAUUUUAGCAAUAGAAUCCUGGCAGGACACUAGGAGGUGAGGUCGAAACAGUUAAGGUGGUGGCAAGAGAUCCCGACGACAAGAGAUUCUCACAAAUAACAGAUGAGUUUCGACAGUAACGACGAAUGUCAGAACAACAUACAUUUGGUGGUACGAUUUUUCGAUGACAAAUGAGGAGUUCCAACAACACAAACAUCAAUAACAACAAAACUCAGGUAACUAUUAAGUAUUUUGUGUCCGGGAAGGCGAAGUGAGAUUUACAAUUUUACCCACAAAGAUCAAAGUAUAAGAAGCUAUGGCCCAACCAUCAACUGUAGCUAACAGUGUUUUUCAGUUCAUCUCCGACAUAAGAACAGGGCUUUUCAGUUCACCUUCAGCAUAAAAACAAUAAUCUCCCUUUUCAUUCAGUUCCAUCUUAACAGAUCGAGUUGCCUUUUUUGCUUCUCAUCACCCCAGUAGUUUAUUUCCUUCAUCCCUGCAAACUCCUUACUACCUCUCUCUCUCUCUUUCCCUUUUCCCCUUUCUCUGUGUGAUUCUUCGAGUCAAACUCGAAAUUGGUAAAUCGAGAUUCUACACCUUCACCUUCCCUUGGUGAUGAAGAGCAGGCAAGUAAUUGGUCUGUAGCUUGAUUUAGGUUGCUCGAGCUAUCAUCGUUGAAGAUAAAUCUCCUCUGGCGCUGGUCUCUAGCUUGAUUUGGGUUUCUCGAGUGAUCAUUGCUGAUUCGCUGCCGACGCGAGUCGGGAUAGCCCAGAAAUUAAAAAGAAAACCAACUACCAGUGGGAGGUAAGAAUGUAAAGCUCCCAUUUUUGUGCCGCUCUCGAUUCUUCAGUGCCGAUUCCCCUCACCCUUUCAUUCCCUGCGUUCAAGUCGCCCGUUGGUUUUGCAAGGUUCUUCAUCGGGUUUGGACAUUUGUCAUCGACGUGGUAACAAUCCUCUCUAUCUCCAUCUGCAUGUAUGAAAAAUAUGCUCUAAAGAUUCUUCGUAAAAUCUUUCCAGAAAGCUUUCAACAGAUGCUCAGUUAACAAGUGGUUGUGAUAAAUGUGACUACAUCGACUCUUUUCAUGGACUCUGAUAUUGACAGCAAGCAAUUGGUAAAGACUAAAACUUAUGGAGAUCUCCUGUUGAGUGAUCGGCCAUUUCUGUGGCUAAUAAAGUAUUGACUAUUAGGAAAGUAAAUCACUGAAGCAGGUAUUACUGAUUAAGUAUUAUUCAAGAAGUAUCAACGAGUAAAGCAAGUCCAAUUUUCUCAAUCUAUUCUUUGUGUUUUGGGUUUUAAGAUGUUUGGUCCAAAUUAGGUUGAUUUGGAUUUAUGUGUUUUGAAUUGGCCAAAUGGAAUCUGGUAUUAGGACAAAGGUCUUUACAGCCCUAGUGAAGACUAUUCAGCAACAAUAUAUGCUGAAGAUCAGGUAAGAAAUGUUUUUAUACUGAGCUUUGUUUGUUAAUGUGGAGAGUGAAGAUGAAUAGGUUUAUAUUUGAAUGUGUGGACUUUGAGAUGGAAGAUCGACGAAGGAGUUUAUUUCAAUUCGUAGUCAUUUUCAUUAAUGCCUUGUCUAUUAAGAAGCACCAACAGAUGUUAAUUGAAAUCAAGAUGAUUGUUUCUGUUGUUGUGGAGAUGGUGGUAUGUUCCAUGAAAGAUAAAAGAUACUAUUGAAGUGUGCUGAUUCGUAAAUAAGCACAAUACUGACAUUGUAGCUCUUGAAACAUGGGCUGAUGGUAAGUCUUAUGAAUUGGCUGCUAAAGUGAAAGUUCGAAUGCUUAGGCUCUUUCGAUUCUAUACCAGCAUGCAGGAGGUAAUAUUUGCUUUUAUAUUGGAUGUGAUUGUUUGCUUGGAGAUAUUGAGAUGAACUCAGAUUUUUAAUCAGGUUAAGGCCUCGCAGUUUCAGCUGAUGCACCUUACCCACUUACAAACCUUGCAUGAAUCAAAUGGGGUUGCGUCUGUGGCCUGAUCAUUUCAUGGAACUUCCCUCUUCUCAUGUUUCCCUGGAAUCUAGGUUGGUUCAACUUUAGCAACUGGGUAGACGAUUGUUCUCAAAUAUGCUCAAUGUAUAACAGUUAUACUAUGUAUGCCAGAUUUUAUAAUUACAUACAACUAUCAAAAGAUGGGUGCACAAUGUGUAAUAAAAAUCAGAUGUAAACUUAAUUAAAUCCAAUGACUGAAAUCUAUUUAAUAGAUGAAUCAAGUAACCUUCUUCCUCAAACCCUCCUAAUCAAAUUUUGUUGAAUUCAUUAAAGCCGCCAUGAGAGGUUACCAAUUCCAUAGCUGCUAAUUAUAUACUGAAGCAACUUCCACCAAUCUUCGACUGAUUUGUUUUAUCUCUCCACUUGCCAAGCUGGUCCUAACUGAUUUGUUUUAUCUCCCCACUUGCCAAGCUGGUCCUAAAUCAUGUCCUUUCCUGAUUCUUUAAUUUCAUCUUCUUCGUUGACUCUUCCAUACCUGUUGUUUCACAAGAUAACAUUGAUACUUUCCAGCAAAGCCACCCAACAAGAACACAGUCAAUGAGUCAACCCUUUUCUUCCCUUAUUAAAUCCCUGUUUCCAACCUUCAAUCUCUCCUCCCACAUUUAAAAAAACCCACCACACCCCAUUUUGGACCUCAUUGACACCACGUAAUGGGUCACCAUACUCAAGUAAUCGAUCACUGGAGCUCAUUCGGAGGGUCAGUCCAUGGCCAAGGUCAAGAACCAAUCCCAUUCAACAAUCAAGGUAAGGACUUUAAAGUCCUUCUCUUACACGGAUAUCUGAACAUCUGCGUAAAGCAGGCAGUAAACCUUCCAAACAUGGACGCCCUCACCAAAUCCCUCGGCCAAAUGUUCUCCAAGCUCACCCAAAAAAUCGAAAGCAAAAUCAACACAUCCGACCCUUAUGUUACGGUGUCCGUAUCCGGAGCAGUCGUCGCUAGAACAUUCGUGAUAAAAAACAACGAAAACCCGGCCUGGAUGCAGCAUUUCUCCAACGUGCCAGUGGCGCAUUACGCCUCCGAGAUUCACUUCAUUGUGAAGGACCAUGACUUGGUUGGCUCCGAGGUUAUAGGGGCCGUUGGGGUACCAGUUGAAGAUCUGGUUUUGAGGAAGAAAAUUGAAGGGACUUUUCCUGUAUUGGGUGCUAAUGGCAGCCAAUGUAGAAAUGGAGCUGGAUUGAGCUUGUCAAUUGAGUACAAUCCAAUUGAUGGAAUGGAGAUUGACAAUGUUGGUGGUGUUCCAGGGACUUACUUCCCUCUUCGAAAAGGCGGUAAGGUAACACUUUACCAAGAUGCACAUGUGGAGGAAAUUGGUCAAAUUGGGGGGUUCGAGCAUCGGAGCUGCUGGAGUGAUGUGUUUCAGGCUAUUAGCGAGGCUCGUAGGCUGGUUUACAUUACGGGUUGGUCUGUGAAUUGCAAUGUUAGAUUGGUAAGGAAUGGAGGGAGGAUGGAUUGUACAUUGGGGGAGCUUCUCAAGGCUAAGUCUCAAGAAGGUGUUAGGGUGUUGCUUCUUGUGUGGGAUGAUCCUACUUCUAGCAGGAUUUUAAGCCACAAAUAUGUAAGAAACUUGAACAACCCUUUUUUAUUCCAGUUUUGAUGUUGGUUGUGCUUGUGUAUUUGAUUGCAAGUGCAGAGUUAUUAAUUAAUAUUUAAUAGAGCUGCUUCGACUCGGAAAGCUCUUUCAAAAAUUGGCUCGAUUUUAAAUGAGUCAAGUUUGAGGUACGUUAUGCAUGACUGGACAGGCUGAAUUAAAUGCUCUAAUAUGUAGCUCGCCAUUCAUUGAGUUCUAUCUCAGUUAGGUGGUUUGAGAGUGAGCGAAUUUACAGCUAGACUAUAUUACUCAUUAACUGAUAAGCUCAAUAUUGUUUGUGAUUUGUCCCAAAUAGUAAAUUUUAUGUCUUAUGAUUAUUUGAUGAUAUAUAUCUGCUUGAUGAAUAAAUUGUUAGCAUAUUUUGACAUAAAAUACGUAUUAGAUUUUCUAUCUAGCUAGUGUGUCAUUACACAAUAUUUUUGGUGUGUUACAUUAUUGUCAAAAUAUGUGGUUUAGAUUUAAAUAAUUACCAAAUAUGGUUAAAUGAGUAAAUUAAAAGCUCAAACGAUUUUACAAUAAGUUGAGGUUCAAUCUUUUCAAGCAUUUUAAGUCUACAAAGCUAGAGUUGACUUGUAGCUUUUCAAGAGGCGUUAGCAAUAAUUGUUAGUGAGUCUAGCUCAAUCUUAAUGCGAGUUCGCCUAAAAACUUAAUGGGCUGCCCUUGAUCCGGAGUUCUCAACUCGACUUGGCUCGUACAAAUCCCUGAUUCCAACGAUAUCGAUUUGUACGGAAUAUAGGAUGGGAUGAUGAGCACAGGAGAUGAAGAAACAAGGCGCUACUUCAAGAACUCUUCAGUCCAAGUGUGACUAUGUCCGAGGUCUCCUGACAAAGGACACAGUUUCAUCAAGAAACAGGCUUGAUAUUGUUGAUCUUGUUGUGUUCUGUUUUUGUGUCAUGCCAACUAAGCUCUUAUAUCUUGUGCUUUGUUUCAGGAAGUUCGAACAAUCUAUACCCACCAUCAGAAAACAGUGAUAGCAGACGCUGAUGCAGGGCGAAACAGAAGGAAGAUCAUAGCUUUUGUUGGAGGCCUCGACUUGUGCAAUGGCCGUUACGAUACUCAAGAGCACUCCCUCUUUAGGACAUCACACACAGUCCACAAGGACGACUUCCACAACCCAACUUUGGCAGCGCCAACAACUGCUGGAAGCUGUCCGAGGCAGCCAUGGCACGACUUGCACAGCAAGAUCGAAGGUCCAGCUGCGUACGAUGUCCUGACGAAUUUUGAAGAGCGUUGGUCUAAAGCUUCAAAGCCUCGAGGAAUUCACAAGCUGAGAUCAUCAUCACAAGAUGAUGCAUUGCUGAAGCUGGAAAGAAUUCCUGAAAUCCUUGGCUUCUCAGAGGCUGCUGCUACUAGCCUGGCUGAAAAUGAUCCUGAAGCUUGGCAUGUUCAGGUCUUUCGUUCGAUUGAUUCGACCUCUGUGAAAGGAUUUCCUGAUGAUCCUGGACAUUGCAACAAGCAAGGUAAAGUCUUUGUUUUGUUUGUUCAUCAUUUAUGUUUGCUGAUGGAUUGGAAGUGACGUAAUUUUUCUGUUUACAGAACCUGCAGUGUGGGAAGAACAUCCUGAUAGACAUGAGCAUCCAUGCAGCCUAUGUGAAUGCAAUUCGAUCCGCGCAGCAUUUUAUCUACAUUGAGAAUCAGUACUUCCUUGGAUCAUCAUACGCCUGGGAUUCCUACAAUAACUUGGGCGCCAACAACUUAAUACCGAUGGAAAUCGCGCUCAAGAUCGCUAGCAAAAUCAGGGCAAACGAAAGGUUUGCAGCGUACAUUCUCGUCCCCAUGUGGCCAGAAGGUGUUCCUACUGGCGCAGCCACACAACGGAUACUGUUCUGGCAGGUGAACAGUCAACAAUGCCAUCGGAUAGCUGAAUUGUUUCUAACAUUGGUGCCUGACUGUUUUGUCUUUUCCCCAAUUUGUGUUGCAGCAAAAGACAAUGCAAAUGAUGUAUGAAACAAUCUACAAGGUAUUGGUGGAAGUUGGACUUGACAAGACGUACGAGCCACAAGAUUACCUCAACUUCUUCUGCCUCGGAAACCGGGAGGAGGCAUCGACAUUAGAUCGAGAAGUUGCAGCUUAUCCAAGAACAGCAACACCAAAUACUCCUCAGGUAAUAUACAUGAAAAAGAUUUUUUCGUCUCACAAUGAAACAAAACUGAAUGUCUCACUACAGUAAAAUAGUAUAAAAUAGUGAGAUCGAAGACCUUUAAUGUGUUAUAAUUAAAAAGGAUUCUACUACAUUAUAUUUUAUUAUAAUGAGACACCCAAUUUCGUCUCACGUCGAGACAAGAAACCUUGCUUUACUUGCAUCAACAAGUUCUAAUCUUUUUCCAACUUUUAGGCCGCUUAUUUCGAAAAUAAUUUCAAGCAUUGAGUCAGAAGAACAGAAGGUUCAUGAUUUAUGUACACUCGAAAGGGAUGAUAGUGGACGACCAAUACGUAAUAAUAGGGUCUGCAAACAUAAACCAAAGAUCAAUGGAAGGCACCCGCGACAGCGAGAUCGCAAUGGGUGCAUUUCAGCCCCGGCACACCUUGGGAAGUUCCAACCAGCAUCGUCCACACGGCCAGGUGUAUGGGUACAGAAACUCACUGUGGGCCGAACACAUAGGAAGUGUCGAAGGAAGUUUCGAAAUGCCGGAGAGUGUGGAAUGUGUAAGAAGGGUGAGGUGCAUUGGAGAAGAGAAUUGGAAGCAAUUUGCAGGAGAAACAGUGACAGAGAUGAAAGGUCAUCUGCUGAAGUAUCCGGUUGAGGUUGAUCGAAUGGGGAAGGUCGGGCCGCUUCCGGGAUGCUCGAGUUUCCCAGAUGUUGGUGGCAAUAUUUUGGGAUCGUUCAUACCUUUGCAGAAGAACCUUAACAUAUGUGGUUCCUCCAUACCCAUUCAGGAAAUUGUUAAUGCGUUUGGCUCCCAUCUUCCCAAACAAGAGAACCUCACCAUUUGAACUGCUACACCAGUUGGAGGAUUUCUUGGUUUCUUCACUUGUUUUCUUGUUGUUUUUGUAAAGGGCGUAGUAAGUUUGUAAAGAAAGAACUUUGUUUUAGGGGAAAAGAACUGUUAUCUGGCAGGAGUUAUAAUAGUCGUAAUUUCGAGAUUGACCGUUCUGACUUUCUCUAGCUUUCUUAUUGUGUUACUUAGGCCAACUUACA